UCUGGUUGAUCCUGCCAGUAGUCAUAUGCUUGUCUCAAAGAUUAAGCCAUGCAUGUCUAAGUAUAAAUAGUAUACAGUGAAACUGCGAAUGGCUCAUUAAAACAGUUAUAGUUUAUUUGAUAAUUGACAAUUACCUGGAUAACCGUGGUAAUUCUAGAGCUAAUACAUGCUUAAACGCCCGACUUUAUGGAAGGGUGGUAUUUAUUAGACUGAAGCCAAUAUUCCUUGUGUCUAUUGCGGUGAUUCAUAAUAACUGAUCGAAUCUCUUUUUGAGAUAAAUCAUUCAAGUUUCUGCCCUAUCAGCUUUCGAUGGUAGUGUAUUGGACUACCAUGGCAGUAACGGGUAACGAAGAAUUAGGGUCGAUUUCGGAGAGGGAGCAUGAGAAACGGCUACCACAUCUAAGGAAGGCAGCAGGCGCGUAAAUUACCCAAUCCUGACUCAGGGAGGUAGUGACAAGAAAUAGCAAACCGGGAACCUCAUGGUUUCACGGUAUUGCAAUGAGAACAAUUUAAAACCCUUAGCGAGAAUCAAGUGGAGGACAAGUCUGGUGCCAGCACCCGCGGUAAUUCCAGCUCCACUAGCGUAUAUUAAAGUUGUUGCAGUUAAAAAGCUCGUAGUUGAACCUCUGUCUGGGGCUAGUUUUGGCUUUGGUCAGGCUAGUUCUAGGCAUCCGCCUACAAGACUUAGAGGGCAUUCAGUUGUUCACUAGGAGGAGUAGGCAUUUUACUUUGAAAAAAUUAGAGUGUUUAAGGCAGGCAAUCGCCCGCAUAUAUUAGCAUGGAAUAAUAGAAUAGGACACUUUUCCAUUUCGUUGGUUAUUGGAAUCGUGUAAUGAUUAAUAGGGACAGUUGUGGGCAUUUGUAUUUAAUUGUCAGAGGUGAAAUUCUUGGAUUUAUUAAAGACAAACUAACGCGAAAGCAUUUGCCAAGGAUGUUUUCAUUAAUCAAGAACGAAAGUUAGGGGAUCAAAGACGAUCAGAUACCGUCCUAGUCUUAACUAUAAACUAUUCCGACUCAAUGUUUGACUGGCUUAUAUAACCAGUUGAGCGUUGUAUGAGAAAUCAAAGUCUUUAGGUUCUGGGGGGAGUAUGGUUGCAAAGCUGAAACUUAAAGGAAUUGACGGAAGAGCACAACCAGGAGUGGAUUCUGCGGCUUAAUUUGACUCAACACGGGGAAACUUACCAGGUUAAAACAAUAGUGGGAUUGACAGUUUGAGAGCGCUUUCUUGAUUGGUUGGGUGGUGGUGCAUGGCCGUUCUUAGUUGGUGGAGUGAUUUGUCUGCUUAAUUGCGUUAACGAACGAGACCUUAACCUGCUUACUAGACUGGCGAUCAUCAAUCGUUAGCUCUUCUUAGAGGGACUUUGGUUGUU
rnacentral:rRNA from 1 species